rnacentral:rRNA from 1 species
AUGAACGUUGGCGGCGUGCCUAAUACAUGCAAGUCGAACGAGAAACUACCCUUCGGGGUAGCGGAAAGUGGCGUCCGGGUGAGUAACACGUAACUGAUCUACCCUUCGCAGGGGGAUAACAUCGAGAAAUCGGUGCUAAUACCGCGUACGCUCAGGGGAUUUAGAACCCCUUGAGGAAAGCUCCGGCGGCGAAGGAGGAGGUUGCGUUCCAUCAGCUAGUUGGUAAGGUAACGGCUUACCAAGGUGACGACGGAUAGGGGACCUGAGAGGGUGACCCCCCACACUGGAACUGACACACGGUCCAGACUCCUACGGGAGGCAGCAGUAAGGAAUAUUGCGCAAUGGGCGAAAGCCUGACGCAGCAACGCCGCGUGCAGGAAGAAGGUUUUCGGAUCGUAAACUGCUUUUCUGCGGGAAGGAAAGGACGGUACCGCAGGAAUAAGUCCCGGCUAACUACGUGCCAGCAGCCGCGGUAAAACGUAGGGGGCAAACGUUAUCCGGAUUUACUGGGCGUAAAGCGCGUGCAGGCGGUUUUUUAAGUCGUGCGUGAAAGCUCCCGGCUCAACCGGGAGAGGUCGUGCGAAACUGAAAAACUUGAGGCAGACAGAGGCAAGCAGAAUUCCGGGUGUAGUGGUGAAAUGCGUAGAGAUCCGGAGGAAUACCAGUGGCGAAGGCGGCUUGCUGGGUCUGUUCUGACGCUCAGACGCGAAAGCAUGGGUAGCGAACGGGAUUAGAAACCCCGGUAGUCCAUGCCGUAAACGAUGCAGACUAGGCGUUAGGUAUCCAACCCCCCUGUGCUGCAGCAAACGCGAUAAGUCUGCCGCCUGGGGACUACGGCCGCAAGGCUAAAACUCAAAGGAAUUGACGGGAGCCCGCACAAGCAGCGGAGCGUGUGGUUUAAUUCGAGGCUACACGAAGAACCUUACCUAGGUUUGACAUACAAGUGGUAGUGAACCGAAAGGGGAACGACCUUCGGGCGCUGGUACAGGUGCUGCAUGGCUGUCGUCAGCUCGUGCCGUGAGGUGUUGGGUUAAGUCCCGCAACGAGCGCAACCCUCGUACUUAGUUGCCACCAUUCAGUUGGGCACUCUAGGUAGACUGCCGGCGUUAAGCCGGAGGAAGGUGGGGACGACGUCAAGUCAUCAUGGCCCUUAUGUCCAGGGCCACACACGUGCUACAAUGGACGGUACAAAGGGUCGCGAACCCGUGAGGGGGAGCUAAUCCCAAAAAGCCGUUCUCAGUUCGGAUUGGAGUCUGCAACUCGACUCCAUGAAGUUGGAAUCGCUAGUAAUCGCGGAUCAGCACGCCGCGGUGAAUACGUUCC